CCUACGGGAGGCAGCAGUGAGGAAUAUUGGUCAAUGGGCGGAAGCCUGAACCAGCCAAGUAGCGUGCAGGAUGACGGCCCUACGGGUUGUAAACUGCUUUUAUACGGGAAUAACGCGCCUUGCGUGUAGGGCUUUGCAUGUACCGUAUGAAUAAGGACCGGCUAAUUCCGUGCCAGCAGCCGCGGUAAUACGGAGGGUCCGGGCGUUAUCCGGAUUUAUUGGGUUUAAGGGGAGCGUAGGCGGCACGUCAAGCGUGAUGUGAAAUGUCCGGGCUCAACCCGGGCCUUGCAGCGGAAACUGGAGUGCUUGAGUCCGCGGAAGGCAGGCGGAAUUCGUAGUGUAGCGGUGAAAUGCUUAGAUAUGACGAAGAACCCCGAUUGCGAAGGCAGCUUGCUGCAGCGGAACUGACGCUGAUGCUCGAAAGCGCGGGUAUCGAACAGGAUUAGAUACCCUGGUAGUC
rnacentral:rRNA from 1 species